AGAGUUUGAUCAUGGCUCAGGAUGAACGCUAGCUACAGGCUUAACACAUGCAAGUCGAGGGGAAACGACAUCGAAAGCUUGCUUUUGAUAGGCGUCGACCGGCGCACGGGUGAGUAACGCGUAUCCAACCUGCCCAUCACUUGGGGAUAACCUUGCGAAAGUAAGACUAAUACCCAAUGACGUCUCUAGAAGACAUCUGAAAGAGAUUAAAGAUUUAUCGGUGAUGGAUGGGGAUGCGUCUGAUUAGCUUGGUUGGCGGGGUAACGGCCCACCGAAGGCGACGAUCGAGGUAGGGGUUCUGAGAGGAACGGUCCCCACAUUGGAACUGAGACACGGUCCAAACUCCGUACGGGAGGCA
rnacentral:rRNA from 1 species